rnacentral:rRNA from 1 species
CAGCCGCCACGGGAAUACGAAGGGGGCUAGCGUUGUUCGGAAUCACUGGGCGUAAAGGGCGCGUAGGCGGACAGUUCAGUCGGGGGUGAAAGCCCGGGGCUCAACCUCGGAAUUGCCUUCGAUACUGGCUGUCUUGAGUAUGAGAGAGGUGUGUGGAACUCCGAGUGUAGAGGCGAAACUCGUAGAUAUUCGGAAGAACACCAGUGGCGAAGGCGGCACACUGGCUCACUACUGACGCUGAGGCGCGAAAGCGUGGGGAGCAAACAGGAUUAGAUACCCCAGUAGUCCCUGUCUCUUAUAC